rnacentral:tRNA from 1 species
AGCUAAUUAUUAUAAAUUAUAUUUUGAAAAUAUAAUAAAGGAGUUCAAAUCCCCUAUUAGCUU